rnacentral:rRNA from 1 species
AUUGAACGCUGGCGGCAUGCUUUACACAUGCAAGUCGAACGGCAGCACGGACUUCGGUCUGGUGGCGAGUGGCGAACGGAUGAGUAAUGCAUCGGAAUGUACCGUGUAAUGGGGGAUAACAAGCCGAAAGGAUAGCUAAUACCGCAUACGCCCCGAGGGGGAAAGCAGGGGAUCUUCGGACCUUGCGUUAUACGAGCAGC